AGAGUUUGAUCAUGGCUCAGGAUGAACGUUGGCGGCGUGCCUAACACAUGCAAGUCGAACGGCAAUAGCAAUAUUGGAGUGGCGCACGGGUGAGUAACACGUAGCUAAUCUACCUCAAAGCGCGGGAUAACGUGUCGAAAGACAGGCUAAUACCGCAUAAGCUCGCGAUCUGUAGAGGGUUGCGAGAAAAGGCGCAAGUCACUUUGAGAUGAGGCUGCGGCCCAUCAGCUAGUUGGUGAGGUAAAAGCUUACCAAGGCAACGACGGGUAGGGGACCUGAGAGGGUGACCCCCCACACUGGGACUGAGACACGGCCCAGACUCCUACGGGAGGCAGCAGUGAGGAAUAUUGCACAAUGGGCGCAAGCCUGAUGCAGCGACGCCGCGUGGGUGAAGAAGGUUUUCGGAUCGUAAAACCCUUUUCUGUGUGACGAGCAAGGACGGUAGCACAGGAAUAAGUCUCGGCUAACUACGUGCCAGCAGCCGCGGUAAUUC
rnacentral:rRNA from 1 species